GGCAAGUAGCGAGAAUAAGUUGCGACGCAAAGCAUUUCUGCUUUGCCAACAAAAGUAUUUAUACAUUGUACGCGUCAUUUGAGAAACUCUCAUCGAGAGGAAACGUUCGGAACAGUUAAUUUUAUAUUCGGCAGUGAAUAUCGAGAAUGAGAUUUUCGAUUGCAUUGUUAACCAUCGCCGUGAUGAUACUGACCGUCAUAUCAUCACCGCUACAGGACAGACGUCAAGGUUUUCGAUUCGACUUACAAAGACCGAAUCUAACGAUAUCUAAAUCGAAUCUAACGAUAUCAAAGGAACAAUCAACAACAGCAUCUACGUUCAAUAUUAUAGCAGUACCAGAAUUUGCGUGUCCAACUGGACAGCGACAUGACUCGAAGGGAAGGUGUCGAACGAUUCUUUAGAAAAUUCAAAGGAGUAAUCUUAAGAAAAGAGAAGUAUACAUGAUUCGACAUAUGGGCGAUGUCAUCCGAAAGUGCGUACAAAUGUCGGGAUAAAAUAUCGUAACAAUAGCGAAUGUGGAAACGGUCAAAUUGAUUCGUCCGCUUUGCUAUCAGAGGAAGCAGCUAUUUCGCUACUCCAACGCGAUUAUUUAUCUAUAUCGUUCAUUUUGUAUUAUUGUUAUUAAUUUUGUUAUCAAUUUUGCAGCUAUAUAAUCCCGAUAUAUUAUAACAAGAAAUUUUUUCAUUUCUUCAUUUAAUUUUUUUAUGUUCUUUUUUUAUUAUAUAUGUAAUAUAAAGAAAAUCAUAUACAUGUAUCUCAAUAAAGACUAAUAAUAAAUAAAUAAAAUCGACAGAGUUA